rnacentral:lncRNA from 1 species
AAAUUAAUUACUCAAUUUUGAUUUUUUAAAGUCAAAUUGACCAUUUUUAAAACUAAUCUUUUUACUAUUUUUGCUAAAAUAUAGGUAAAGAGAUUAUAACCAAAAGAAGGUAUAUACAAUUUAUUACUAACCCCAAUUUUUAUAAUUUUAAAAAUAUUUAUAUAUGUUUAAUUAUUAAUUCUAAAAAUAGUCAAUUUGACUUAAAAAAAGUCAAAACUGAGCAAUUAAUUUGGGACGGAGGGAGUAUAAACUAAGUAAUUAAUACUUACUUGAAGUUAUCAAACGACUUAUAUUAAGGGACAAAAACACUCCACUAAAACGAUUUAUAUUAAAGGACGGAGGGAGUAGUAAAAUAUUUAUUUCUCCUCUCUCUUUAUGAUCACUUUCUAGCUCUCUUCUUUUAUUAUUCUCUCUGUCCCCAAAAAAUGAGCAAAAUAUAAAUUUGCACACAUUAAAAAAAAUAAAAAAAUAGAGGAAAUAGAGUAAAAAAAUUUUAAAUUUAUCCAUAGUGACCCCACAAGAUUAUAUAAUGUGAUGAGUAUAUAUUUUUAAUUUUUUAUACUAAUGGAUCCCACUAAAUGACAUAUUUAUUCUUUAUUUUAAAUUUUUUUUUUUUUUUUUGGGGACAAAAAAAUUAUAUCUUUAAUAAUUCUUUUAAAAAUAAAGGGAGUAUUAUUUUAUUUUAAGUAUGUCUUUGGAUAUGCACUUAAAGGUGUGCAUGUAAAUACAUAUAUUCAUGUUUCAAUUGUUAUUAAGGUUUGUUACUCGAUAGUCAGACAAAAUGAGACUGUUAUUUUGGAACGUGAGAGUACGUCCCUUAAUUUCUCUUCGUUGUGUUUCACGAAAGUGUUCUAUUUUAACUUCUUAAAAUUAAUUACAUGAAAUUGUAAUAAUUAAAAUUAAUAUAAAUUUAUUUAAAUUAUAAAAAUAGUAAUUUUUUAGUAGUUUACAACAUUCGCUGUAGAAUGGCAUAAAAUCAUUGAAUAAAUUUAAAUCAACUUUAAAUUUAAAUAUUAAAAUUUUGUAAAUUGAUUUAAAAUUGUCAAAUAAUUUUUCUUUUUAAGUACAGAUGUAGGAUUACAUGUUUUUGUUUGAAUUCUAUAAACUAUUGAAUACCGCGUUCAUGUAUUAGGAUUAGGUUGUGAUAGAUGGGGAUCGAUGUUAUCCUUUACUAUAUGUUUAUUACUCCUUCCUAUUCAGAUUAAAUAACGUUUUAAGGAGUUUAAUUUUAUUCUAUAUAAGUGUCGUUUUAGAAUUUCUAUGCAAUAUUGCACUAUUUUUUUCUAAUUUACCCCUCUAUUUAAUAUGCUUAGUAAAUACAAUUGUGGAGAGAAAAAUAAUUAAUUAGGGACAAUUAUGGAGAAUGAGAAGAGAUAAUUGUGGAAAGAGAAAUAAUUAAUUAGGAACAUAAAAGAUAUUUGUGUUAUUUCUUAAUAAGUGUGUUUAACUCUAAAAUGUCAUUUAAUUUGAAUAGGAGGGAUUAAUAUAUAAUAAUUUCCUAUCUAAGUCAUGUCAUAUUAUAUUUAUUAAUUGAACCCAUGCUGCAAUUGGAUCUUUACUAAUUAUGAGGAGAGGGCAGGACGGACAUGGUGGCUCUUAUAUUUAUAUUAUUGCCUUCUUAAAUUUUAAAAAGUUGAAUGUUUAUAUAUAGAGAGAGAGGGAGUACGGAUUUAAAGCAUUUCUUUUAAAUAAUAUAUUUUUAUUAAAAUUACGUCGUUUUAAAUAUUAUUUUAAAAAAUAAAAUAAUAUUAAAAUUAAAAAAGAAUGAUCUCAUUUACUUUCUUUUUAUUUACAAAAAUGUCACUUGCGUCUCUACUUGUUUUUUAAACGAAUCUCCAAAACGACGUAAUUUUAAUAUAAAAGUAUACUAUAAAUCUGUUAUAUAUAUAUAUACACACACGAUCCGGAUCUUAACUUCACCCCUUAUCUAGCUCACCUUACUCACCCUCCUUUAGCGACGGACCGGGCGUCGAUUCGGUCCAUCGCUAUAUAUAUAUAGAAUUGUCGUCUAUGUGUUAUCCGUCGCUAUAUGUUGUCCGUC